CACGUAGGGGGCAAGCGUUGUCCGGAUUUAUUGGGCGUAAAGAGCUCGUAGGCGGUUCGAUAAGUCGGGUGUGAAACCUCCAGGCUCAACCUGGAGACGCCACCCGAUACUGUUGUGACUAGAGUCCGGUAGGGGAGCGUGGAAUUCCUGGUGUAGCGGUGGAAUGCGCAGAUAUCAGGAGGAACACCGAUGGCGAAGGCAGGUCUCUGGGCCAUUACUGACACUGAGAAGCGAAAGCAUGGGGAGCGAACAGG
rnacentral:rRNA from 1 species